GACGAACGCUGGCGGCGUGCUUAACACAUGCAAGUCGAACGGAAAGGCCCUGCUUUUGGGGGGUGCUCGAGUGGCGAACGGGUGAGUAACACGUGAGUAACCUGCCCUUGACUGUGGGAUAACUUCAGGAAACUGGGGCUAAUACCGGAUAGGAGCUCCUGCUGCAUGGUGGGGGUUGGAAAGUUUCGGCGGUUGGGGAUGGACUCGCGGCUUAUCAGCUUGUUGGUGGGGUUGUGGCUUACAAAGGCUUUGAUGGGUAGCCGGCAUGAGAGGGUGACCGGCCUCAGUGGGGCUGUGAUACGGCCCCGACUCCUACGGGAGGCAGCGGUGGGGAAUAUUGCACAAUGGGCGGAAGCCUGAUGCAGCACCGCCGCGUGCGGGAUGACCGCCUUCGUGUUGUAUACCGCUUUCGCCUGUGACGAAGCGUUAGUGACGGUAAUGGGUAAAGAAGCACCGGCUAACUACGUG
rnacentral:rRNA from 1 species